AAUAGAUACCCUGGUAGUCCACGCCGUAAACGAUGAGUGCUAAGUGUUAGAGGGUUUCCGCCCUUUAGUGCUGCAGCUAACGCAUUAAGCACUCCGCCUGGGGAGUACGGUCGCAAGACUGAAACUCAAAGGAAUUGACGGGGGCCCGCACAAGCGGUGGAGCAUGUGGUUUAAUUCGAAGCAACGCGAAGAACCUUACCAGGUCUUGACAUCCUCUGACAACUCUAGAGAUAGAGCGUUCCCCUUCGGGGGACAGAGUGACAGGUGGUGCAUGGUUGUCGUCAGCUCGUGUCGUGAGAUGUUGGGUUAAGUCCCGCAACGAGCGCAACCCUUGAUCUUAGUUGCCAGCAUUUAAUUGGGCACUCUAAGGUGACUGCCGGUGACAAACCGGAGGAAGGUGGGGAUGACGUCAAAUCAUCAUGCCCCUUAUGACCUGGGCUACACACGUGCUACAAUGGAUGGUACAAAGGGCUGCAAGACCGCGAGGUCAAGCCAAUCCCAUAAAACCAUUCUCAGUUCGGAUUGUAGG
rnacentral:rRNA from 1 species